rnacentral:tRNA from 1 species
GGUGCGGUGGGCCCCGCCGGAGGUGUCGGACGCGUUCUGCGCGUCGCGGCUCGGUGGCGACCGGGGGUCGGCGUUCGGCACGCUGCCCCACAC